rnacentral:rRNA from 1 species
UUGAAAGGGAAACGAUUGAAGUCAGUCAUGUUGGUAGGGAAUCAACUUGAUGGUUUGCGGGUUUGCUCGUGUUCUUUCGAGUGCACUUCCUUACUUGCUAGUUAGCAUCAAUUUUGAUUAUCAUAUAAAAAUUGAGGGAAGGUGGCUUUUCUUCGGAAAAGUGUUAUAGACCUCGAGAAAUGUGGUGAUCGGGAUUGAGGAUUGCAGCGGAUACCCUUUUGGGCUAGUCACCUGGCUUCUGAUGAUUACCCCGCCUUCGAUAGCUUGCUGACGUUGGUGAGACUCGAUUGUCUAGGUGUUAGAAUGAUCAUAAAUUCGUUAAGGAUGUUGACGUA